rfam:Schistosoma margrebowiei strain Zambia genome assembly, scaffold: SMRZ_contig0000225
GCACUGCUGAGGAAUUUCAAAAUAGGACGAAACGGCCGUCCAGUGC